GCGACUGAUUAGACCUCUUCACUCUGCAGGUUUGUACAGACUGAGCUUCAUUAUCAUCCUUCUCACCCUCCUGUUAGUUUUGUGGCAGCUGUUUGGGUGAAACAACUUAGUGCUCAGUCACACCGCAAACUGACACAAAGAAAUUCAACUUGCAAGUCGUGUAAUUCAAAUCGUGCCACUCUGGUGUGAGCGAGCUCUCAUAUUCGUAUCAUUCUCACCAAGUUUGAUAAAAAGCAGUUAAUUCCCGUCACAGUUUCACCCCUCCUUCAACCUGAGCAAAGCUCUAAUCAAUCAUAACAAGUGAAAACACCUGUGCAGGUGUGCGUGCUGGGCCUUUACAGGAUGGCUCGCAGAUAUAAUUUCAUCCUCUGAUCCUUUCCAAGUUUGCAGGUAUGAUGAACCAAGAAUGAGACUGAACAACAAAACUUGAGGAAUCUGCUCAGUGUGCUUGCUGAGCUGCAUUGCAAGUAACCAUUUCACAAUCAAGUCCCAGGUGAGUCCAGUCUGUCGUGGUGAUGGAGGAUUUCUCCUGGCGUGUGCUGAGGAGAACAGUCCCACUGUUCAUUAAGGCACACCGGCGAUCGCGCUCUGCCCAGCUUCUUCCUGCGUCUGAUCACCACAGCACAACCUCCCCACUCGCCAACAGCCGACGGAGUGUUCAAGGAGACGAAUGGACACUGACCUUAUCAGGAGGCAGGUUUGUGUGUGUGGCAUCACCAUUCGUAGUGUGGACGCAGGUCUGCUGUAUGUUUUGGAGCAAACGAAAAGCCUAAGGCCCUGUUCGGACAGGCAGUCGUACUGCAUGAAAAACAAGGCUGCCCUCCCAAGAAGAAUGACAGCAUCAGUUGUUUCAGCACCUGCCCUAAAAUAUUGUAGGCUUAUGUUCAAGUGACAACACCCUGAAGUGACCAUAGUAAAUAUGA